rnacentral:lncRNA from 1 species
AUUACAACGUACAAGAUUGCAAACAGAAGGAAGAUGUGAUCAAACAAUCCAAUUUUACAUACUCUCAGAUUCCAGCCUGUUGAUUCAGAAUGUACUCCUUUCUUUUUGUUCUGCUUGGUUGAAUUUUGUUUCUCUUCCUCUUAAUAUCCUGACCACAGGCUCAGUGAAUCCCUGUGGUUGUUUUUAUCAAUCCUCUCUACAGUUUCCUCCUUAUAGCCACUUCC